rnacentral:lncRNA from 1 species
GGCAGUCCUGCCUGUUUCUGCCUCAAGGUUGCAAAACUGGGUCCCAGUUGCCUGUACUCUGAGGUGGGAGCGUGCCACAGCCACCAGCAGAGGCUGUCCCGAUGUCAGGGAAGGAAACUGAGGCUCAGUGGGGCUGGGAUCACACAGACCGUAAGUGAAGAGUUGCGUGUCUGGACAGCUGUUGUGGCGCCCUGGCCAUCCCAAAAGCUCCAGCAUUCCAUUUCAAGGAUCUCUUGCUGGCUUCCCUCCUACCAUCAUUCCUCUGAGAGAACGUGGCCUUGAGAACAAGGAGUGGAGAGCUGCCAGCUACUGCCACCUGACACAGAGCCUCAUUGCCCUUGCCUGUCUCCUUCCCCUGUCCAUCUUCAGUGUAGGGUCAAGAAGUGGGUCACUCCUUCCUUUUAUCCGAGGUGGACUUCUUGUUUUCUCCCCCCAGAGGUUGCCACGUGUCUAAUUGCCCAUCAAGCUAGAGUGGUGGAGGGAAAUUGGUAUCAAAGAGUUUU